rnacentral:rRNA from 2 species
UGGAUCCAGACUUUGAUUAUGGCUCAGGAUGAACGCUAGCUACAGGCUUAACACAUGCAAGUCGAGGGGAAACGACAUCGAAAGCUUGCUUUUGAUGGGCGUCGACCGGCGCACGGGUGAGUAACGCGUAUCCAACCUGCCCAUCACUUGGGAAUAACCUUGCGAAAGUAAGACUAAUACCCAAUGACAUCCCACGAAGGCAUCCGAAUGGGAUUAAAGAUUUAUCGGUGAUGGAUGGGGAUGCGUCUGAUUAGCUUGUUGGCGGGGUAACGGCCCACCAAGGCAACGAUCAGUAGGGGUUCUGAGAGGAAGGUCCCCCACAUUGGAACUGAGACACGGUCCAAACUCCUACGGGAGGCAGCAGUGAGGAAUAUUGGUCAAUAGGCGAGAGCCUGAACCAGCCAAGUAGCGUGCAGGAUGACGGCCCUAUGGGUUGUAAACUGCUUUUAUAAGGGAAUAAAGUGAGUCUCGUGAGACUUUUUGCAUGUACCUUAUGAAUAAGGACCGGCUAAUUCCGUGCCAGCAGCCGCGGUAAUACGGAAGGUCCGGGCGUUAUCCGGAUUUAUUGGGUUUAAAGGGAGCGUAGGCCGGAGAUUAAGCGUGUUGUGAAAUGUAGAGGCUCAACCUCUGCACUGCAGCGCGAACUGGUCUUCUUGAGUACGCACAACGUGGGCGGAAUUCGUGGUGUAGCGGUGAAAUGCUUAGAUAUCACGAAGAACUCCGAUUGCGAAGGCAGCUCGCGGGAGCGCAACUGACGCUGAAGCUCGAAAGU